CGCCUGUUUAUCAAAAACAUGGCCUUUUGAUUUUUAUUUAAGGUCUAACCUGCCCACUGAGUAUUUAAAUGGCCGCGGUAUAUUGACCGUGCAAAGGUAGCAUAAUCAUUAGUUUUUUAAUUGAAAGCUGGAAUGAAUGGUUGGAUGAGAAAAUAACUGUCUCUGCGUAAAGCUUAGAAUUUUAUAUUUAAGUAAAAAAGCUUAAAUGUUAUUAAAAGACGAGAAGACCCUAUAGAGUUUUAUAAACUUUAUUUUUUGAAUUUUUAGUAUUUUUAUCUUGAAUAGUAAAGUUUAUUUGGUUGGGGAGAUCAAAAAAUUGAAUUAACUUUUUUUUUAUUUUUACACUAAUUAGUGAAUUUUUGAUCCGUUUUUUGCGAUUAUAAGAUAACAUUACCUUAGGGAUAACAGCGUAA
rnacentral:rRNA from 1 species